GCCUCAAUGGUCUAGUAGUAUGAUUCGCCCUUCGGGAGUUCAACCCGUAGCUUUGCGCUUACUUCAUGGGUGAGGUCCCAGGUUCAACUCCUGGUUGGGGCC